rnacentral:rRNA from 1 species
AACGAACGCUGGCGGCAUGCCUAACACAUGCAAGUCGAACGAGACCUUCGGGUCUAGUGGCGCACGGGUGCGUAACGCGUGGGAAUCUGCCCUUGGGUUCGGAAUAACUCGCCGAAAGGCGUGCUAAUACCGGAUGAUGACGUAAGUCCAAAGAUUUAUCGCCCAAGGAUGAGCCCGCGUUGGAUUAGCUAGUUGGUGAGGUAAAGGCUCACCAAGGCGACGAUCCAUAGCUGGUCUGAGAGGAUGAUCAGCCACACUGGGACUGAGACACGGCCCAGACUCCUACGGGAGGCAGCAGUGGGGAAUAUUGGACAAUGGGCGAAAGCCUGAUCCAGCAAUGCCGCGUGAGUGAUGAAGGCCUUAGGGUUGUAAAGCUCUUUUACCCGGGAUGAUAAUGACUGUACCGGGAGAAUAAGCUCCGGCUAACUCCGUG